rnacentral:lncRNA from 1 species
AGUGUGUUAAAGUUAUUCUGAUAUUGACUGUAGUUCUGAGCUUUGUCUCUAUCCCACCAAACCACUAACUUCUGGAAAUUACUUGUAGACCAAGAUGGGAGGACUCCGUGUGUGGCUCCGUGAGUCUGUGUCUCCUCUUGGUCUUCACAGCUCUCUUCAUGUGACAAAGAAACUUCCUAAAAUACUAAAAGCUAAAGGAGAUUGUUAUCUAAGCUUGAGAUGGAAGGUUGCCAGCGGAAACUUGGAGGAUCACAGCCAGUCGCCUGGGAUUGACCACAGGGAGUGGCAGAGGCAGAAAGCAAAAGACCAGUUGCAAUUAUCCAGAAUCCUGAAUUGAGCCUGUGUUCCCAGUUCCUAGAAACCCUCAAGGUUAUUGGUUUCCUCCUCGCUUAAUAGACCAGUGGAAGAAAUCUACCUCCAGUUCUAUCUUCACAUGAGCAACUGUUUACAGUUUACAAUAUUACUCUGAAAAUCAGUUCUUUUCAAGUUUUAUCUAACACCCACCAGAAGAAACAGAAGAUUAUGAAAAUGGAAUUUGUCAAAGUUCCUCUCCCAACAAUAUGAUAUUUAAUUUUGCUAACAUUUUUUUUUGAACACUUACUAUAUUGCAGACAAUGGUCUAAGUAAAGCAUUUUAUGUGCAUCCUAUCAUGUCAUCAUCACACAGCCCUGUGAGGUAGAUACUAUUAUUAUUAACCACAUUUCACAUUCAAAAAAACUGAGGCUUAGAGAGACUAAGUAAAUUGUCCAAGGUCACACAGCCAUGAAGUGGCAGAGCUGUGGUUAAAACCUAUGUCUGUCUGAUGUUUAAGAUUUUGCUGUUAGCAUUACUUUGAAAUGACAAUAUGAGGGCAUUUUAUGUAUUUUUUUUGCCCCAAUAUGAUCUGCAGAAACUAUGUAUUUUAAGUACUACAUUUCUUUUAUUUACCAAAUUAUUGUCAGAUAAGAAACCGAAAUAAAAGUUUACAGGGUC